AACUAAAUAUGCACACCAAGUUAAUUAAUUCAAUUAUUCAUUAUAUCUCAUAUUAACUAAAUAAUUAAUUAACACACCAAAUUAAUUAAUAUAAUCAAUUAUUAUACUACCUAACAACCAAUUAAUUAAUUAACACUCUAAAUAAAUAAAAUAAAAUAUAAUCAUAAUAAUAUAAGAAAUAAAUACUAAAAUUGGGUUGUU
rnacentral:lncRNA from 1 species